CUCACUACAACUUGGUGUGUGUGUAUGUGAGACGUGUGAUUUUGUGCAUGUUGAUAAAUCUUUGUGGCCUUGUGUGUGUGUGUGUGGCUUUUGCAAACUUGUUCCUCAACAUGUGGGUUUGUGACCUGACUGCAGAAGAUAACUAUAAAAGAAUGGGUUGCAGAAAGAAAAACGAACUGAGGGUCUGAGGUGGCAGAUGCUGAGAAGAGCUUGGUCGAUACGGCCCAACUAUUUUUUGGUAUAAUGAAAACAGCAAAGCGGGAACUAAAAUCUGACCACUGCAAAACUGAAACCGUAACCAAGAUGCCUCUUCUAAAAGAUGAAACACUGACUAAAAUACCAGGAAUGAUGGUGUAGACAGCUGCACUGAGCGUCUCCACAGACUGUGGUCUCUGGCAGAAGGCAGACAAUUGAGUUUUGGAAGUGGCAUGGAACGAGACAAAGGGAGUGUGGGGUGGCUUCCUCCCCUUUCGUCUUCCUCCCCAUCAGGGCUGCAUGGGCAGACUGCUCGCUCUUUCAUAACAGCAUUAGCAGAGACCAUGCAGCAAAACAGUGGAAAAUCCACUACACCGUGUUUCCUCAUCAGCAAUGUCUUCUCUCUGACCUCCACCUAAGUUUCAGCAACUCGCAUGAAUAUGGAAUAUGAAUAUGGGCCAACAUCUGAGGUUACGCCAAAUCCAACAAGAGACUGAUUUGUCAACCAUGAAAUCGCCUUUACAGAGGCAGUGCAUGGACAAAUUUGGAUGAGUUGGAGGUACUUUCAUCCUUGGGAAAUUUCUUGACCUUUAUUUUAUGUUCUGGGCCAUAAAGAUGAGUUGCUGUAGGCCGGUGGUGGCGGUGCUGGUGACCUGGUGGUGAUGUCCUCCCGUCGUAUCUUGCAUUAAUACAAAGCAGCAGCAGUUCUUUAUUAAAAUCUGCACUCAUGGAGGAGGAAUUGCAAGAGUUGCGAGAUCUGGUUGCACAGUUGAAAGCUGACAAUGAGAGGCUACAUCAAGAGCAGGCCUCUGUUGGAUUUGCCCCUAGUGCCAUACCUUCAACCUUAUCAGCAGUGCCUACAGCCAGCGCCCCUGCAGCAGAAAGUUGCUGUAGGCCAGUGGUGGCGGUGCUGGUGACUUGGUGGUGGUGUCCUCCCAUCGUAUCUUGCUAUGUCCCUGGGUCUGGAUUUCUUCACUGAGGGUGUGUUUGCCACGUGUGCCUGGUGAUUUAAGUUAUUUUUGCCUUAUUUUGGUGGAUCCUGUCCCUGCACUAGCUCUUGUCCAUCCACUUUGGCCUCAGCCCUGAUUAGGUUUCUCUUUUAUUUGUGUGAAUAUGUUUUUUACGGAGUAUACUUUUUAAAAACAAAUGUUGAAUAAAAUUUGUAUUUCCAAACUUUGAA